AUUUUGUGUUCGGUGAUCGACAGGUACACACGGAAGCUGUAUCGUCCUCAUUAAUUUCAGGUUUCCAAGAAUCCUACCUACCGACAGACGAAACAUCCCGGCUUUCUUUUUCUACAUAUACUUUGUCCUUCGUCCUGUGUAUAAGAUUUUAGAAAUUAUUUGUGACUGUGUGCAGAACGGUCUUAGAAUCA